CGCUGGCGGCGUGCCUAACACAUGCAAGUCGAGCGAGGAGAUUCCUUCGGGAUGAUCCUAGCGGCGGACGGGUGAGUAACACGUGGGCAACCUGCCUCAUAGAGAGGAAUAGCCUUCCGAAAGGGAGAUUAAUACCUCAUAACAUUGCAGUUUCGCAUGGAACAGCAAUUAAAGGAGUAAUCCGCUAUGAGAUGGGCCCGCGGCGCAUUAGCUAGUUGGUGAGGUAAUGGCUCACCAAGGCGACGAUGCGUAGCCGACCUGAGAGGGUGAUCGGCCACAUUGGGACUGAGACACGGCCCAGACUCCUACGGGAGGCAGCAGUGGGGAAUAUUGCACAAUGGGGGAAACCCUGAUGCAAGCAACGCCGCGUGAGUGAUGACGGCCUUCGGGUUGUAAAGCUCUGUCUUCAGGGACGAUAAUGACGGUACCUGAGGAGGAAGCCACGGCUAACUACGUGCCAGCCGCAGC
rnacentral:rRNA from 1 species